rnacentral:rRNA from 1 species
CGCGGCCUAUCAGCUUGUUGGUAGGGUAACGGCCUACCAAGGCUGCGAUGGGUAGCCGGCCUGAGAGGGUGGUCGGCCACACUGGGACUGAGACAUGGUCCAGACUCCUACGGGAGUUAGCAUCAGGGAAUCUUGCGCAAUGGGCGAAAGCCUGACGCAGCGACGCCGCGUGGGUGAUGAAGGCCUUCGGGUCGUAAAGCCCUGUCAGGGGGGACGAAUGCCGGAUGCUUCGUGCAUCCGGAGCGACGGUACCCCCAAAGGAAGCCCCGGCUAACUACGUGCCAGCAGCCGCGGUAAGACGUAGGGGGCGAGCGUUGUCCGGAUUUAUUGGGCGUAAAGCGCGCGUAGGCGGCCAGGUAAGUCGUAGGUGAAAUCCCUGGGCUCAACCCAGGAACGGCUUACGAUACUGCUUGGCUAGAGCACGGGAGAGGAGAGCGGAAUUGCUGGUGUAGCGGUGAAAUGCGUAGAUAUCAGCAGGAACGCCCGUGGCGAAGGCUGCUCUCUGGAACGCUACUGACGCUAAGGCGCGAAAGCUAGGGGAGCAAACGGGAUUAGAUACCCCGGUAGUCCUAGCUGUAAACGAUGGGCACUAGGUGUUGGGGGCAUCGACCCUCCCAGUGCUGGUAUGCUAACGCGUUAAGUGCCCCGCCUGGGGAGUACGG